rnacentral:rRNA from 1 species
GACGAACGCUGGCGGCGUGCUUAACACAUGCAAGUCGAACGGAGCGAAUGAAAGCUUGCUUUUAUGAGCUUAGUGGCAAACGGGUGAGUAACACGUAGACAACCUGCCGACAGGAUGGGGACAACAUUCCGAAAGGAAUGCUAAUACCGAAUGAAGCGGAGGAGAGGCAUCUCUCUUCCGUGAAAGAUGGCCUCUGAAUAUGCUAUCACCUGUCGAUGGGUCUGCGUCUGAUUAGCUGGUUGGUGAGGUAACGGCUCACCAAGGCGACGAUCAGUAGCCGGUCUGAGAGGAUGAACGGCCACAUUGGGACUGAGACACGGCCCAGACUCCUACGGGAGGCAGCAGUGGGGAAUCUUCCGCAAUGGGCGCAAGCCUGACGGAGCAACGCCGCGUGAGUGAAGAAGGUCUUCGGAUCGUAAAGCUCUGUUGAUGGGGACGAAUGUGCGUGAUGCGAAUAGUGUCAUGCA